rfam:Verticillium longisporum isolate VL1 genome assembly, contig: scaffold_132
GGCCGCAUGGCCCAAUGGCAAGGCGUCUGACUACGAACAGCACCUGAUGAAAGAUCAUCUGCUGUAGGCAUCAGGAGAUUGCAGGUUCGAGCCCUGCUGUGGUCA